rnacentral:tRNA from 1 species
GCGGACGUGGCGAAAUUGGUAUACGCGCGGGUUUUAGGUUCCCGUCUUUCGGGGUGAGAGUUCGAGUCUCUCCGUCCGCACCA